UCAAAAUUCAAAAUCUCUCACCUCUCUCUACUUUCUCUUUCUAUUCAACCUCCAUUGAAGGAAUCAAGAAGCUUGAAGAAUAAGACCUAAUCCCUCAAGUUUUCUUCUCAAAUUAUGAAUAAAGUCUUCAUAAGGCAUGGACUCUUUCGUUCUUGGGAGUCCUUUCCCAAGAGGUUUGGGUCGUUGCAGUCUCAAGGUUGUUUUGCAAGAAGACAUGGACUUCUCCUCAAGUUUUGGUAGGUCCUCUAGUCCUAGGAAGGUGCCACGUGUUCUACCUUAGUAGAAUCGAUAUUGUCUGAAUACAUUUAUAUCUUUCCUAUUCUUGAAGACAUUUGUUUCAUCCUCUACUUAUGGGAAUGCUACUUCGAGAAAUGUUGUUCCAGGAUAAACUAGAUAUGUUGCGAGAGAAAUUGGAUAUUUUCCUAUGGCUUGGACCCUUUCACUAUGCCUUAUGUGGAAAAUAUGAAUUUGUAUAAGGGCUAGGACCGAAUGUCCUACUUCUCUUUAGAUGGAUUAAUGUGAGACAAUUUUAUUAUACUAAAUUCUUACUUAUUGGUUAUUUUGACUAAA